CUCAUUGGUAGCUAUACCACACAGCAAUAACUCAUGGUAUAUCAGUCUGGUAAGUUCAUUAGUUCCAGUAAUUAGAUUAUAUUAUGCUUCCCCUUCUCUGCAGCUAGUUAUGGAGAACUGAAUAGGAUUGCAAUACUUGCUUGUUCUUGAUUGCUGGUAGGUUCUUGGUGACUAAAGCUCAGUCUAAGAAUCCAUGGCAGACACUGCAUCAGAAGUGUUCAUGGAAACAUCCAUUUCUUGUUCGGAAACGCCAAGAACUAGUCACUCUUCUUAUCUGCAACAACGGCACUCAAGAAGGUUAGUGGAUAAAUCUUUUCAGCUGGAUGUUGAUACAUUUUGUUCUUUCAGCAAUAUUUAUAGAAAGGCUUUGUGAGAUAAUAGCAGCUAAAACAAGCAGAAUCAAUAAGCAUAAUAUAUGCAAGGAAAUUCUAAUCGUUUUGAUCAAUGUCCAAUAUAUCGUUCAUCCGCAUUUGGUUGCAUCAGAAUUCAGAGGCAGCAGAGUUUUACUGCAUCAAGCCUCUUUGUUUUUUUGUUCCUGUGUGUUACGGUGCUCUGUCACUGUCUCCACCAAAUAACUUGACAAACAGUCAUGUGAGGCACAUUACUGUAAAUGAUGUUGAAAGUUGCUAAUAGAAACAUGAAUUUCUCCCCUUUUUGGUGAACGUGAAGGAGAAUAGCGACAUAUAGAGUUGGACAAGCAAAUCUUCCAGCACACUAUAUGUUCCCUGUUACUGCUUUUUGUCUCCUUUGACUAAAAAACAUGCUAUCUUUGACUACAAUACAUUUGAUUUCACUAUUCUCAGAUGCUUAGCUUUCAAUUAGUUUGCAUGAUUAUUCUGAUUAAGCAGUUCUCUAACUUGUACUUUCAGUGUUGUAAGCACACAUGGAAAUGUAUUGGACAUAUCGCCACGGCUCUCCUAUCACAAACCUGUGGGUAAUUUAAAUUUCCUUUUCUGUGCUUUUGUUUCUGACAAGAAAAAGUUGCUAUAAACUUCAAUUACUACUUUCUUACUGAAUUUUCCUUUAAUGUUUUUUUUUCAUGAUUGUGCAGACAACCAACAAAGAUAAGAUGCUCCGCAGAAGGUCUUCCGUUAACCUGCCAGAGCAUUUGCCUGAGCAUCAAAUGAUUACAAGUGCAGAACAAAGUGGGAGAACUAUAUCAAAGGUUUGCUCCACAGCCUCAUAAGUUACGUAGUAUUUCAUUAUCUCAAGGUCCUAUUUGUUUCCAAAAGCUGAAGAAAAGCUGUUCAGUAGCAGGUCUUAUACCCAUACUUUUUUAUGCUCUAAUCAUAUUGCUUUUCUUUCAAAAUAGCUGAAGGCCUUAAGAAUAGUAUGACAAAAGGCCAUAUGCCAUAAUAAUGAUGCUAUGAAACAGUGUUUCAACUUCAAAAUUCAAACAAGUACGAUGUGAAAAGGCAGUACAACUCUAAACAUUUAGUUUUGAUAUCUGAUCACGGACCUUGUCCCUGCAGUCUGUUGCGGAUUUAGUUUGGGAGAUAGCAGCCCUUGAGGAGGAAGUUGUUCGC
rnacentral:lncRNA from 1 species